GUUGUUUGUUUUUGCUUGUCUUUGGAAGAUAAUUGUUGUUGCCGCUAAAUGCCUAAUAGACAAUUGUCUAUUUUUUUAUUUGGAGUAUAUAAUGAUUUUCAUGUAAUUAGCAUUGCAACUCAUAGAAUAGCAGCCUGGGUGUACCUCUGUUUGUGUGGUGCUCAUGCUCUACAUUGAUGAUACUCUAGCUCAUCUUGAAUUUAGCUGCAAAUGCAGCUAUGUUGGUUUUCCCAAGGGCACGGUGAUUUAGAAUGUCACCAUGUUGGCAGUAGACUAGUUACCAAUGCGUGGCCAGACCAAAUUUACUAUUUAUUCACGAGAAAGGGUAGCCAGACUUUUAUUAUAAAUUCCAAUAGUAUCUUUUACUUUUAUGUAUUCUGGUAUAUUUGAGAAGGGCAGACCUAGUACAGUGUGAAAGCAUUUUGCGGUUGAAGAAUUGCCUCAGUUUAUUCCUUUCCCAGACUCAUAUGAGUUGGGAGCCUCCGGCACUGGGUCUACAUUUUUUUAUUCUGCUAUAUUUGGGCAUGCUAAGAGCCUAAGGUUAAUUCAUUUUGCAACAAUUUGAUAUGCUCUGUAGCUGUAAAUGUUGUCAAGUUUUUAUUAGUGCCUUUUAGUUCCUUUUGCUUAUUAUGUGCUUUCUGACUCAAACCAUUUACUAGAUUGUAGCAGCAGUGAAUUUGGGAGCUUGAAGCGUUCAUCCGAGACAUGGAAAAAGUGAUCUACCGAGCAUAUCUCCUUCGAUGCAAGCGAUUCUUUUCGAAAGAAACUCUUGAUUGGUGUGUCUUAGCCCGUGGGAACACCCAUUUCUCCUCUCUGGUGAACUACACAUAGUGGUUAUAUGCUCCUCUAUGCUCCACAACAAGCAGGCUGAUGCAUUAUUUUUCCUGAAGUUAUUAUGUUCCAGUCUAUGCCAGACAUCUACAUGUAGAUGAUGCUCAUAUAAGGGGGGGUUAAUAUAUUUGCCAUCUUCAGCCUACAUCUGUUGCUGCCCUAAUUAGUUGAUUUGUCUUCUGUGUACUAUCUGAGGUCAGGCCUCAUCCUUGCUACACUUAGUAAUUUCAUGCUAUGUUUGCAGUGGGCUUGUAGUGGAACAGAAUUCUACAUACUGUGGUAGUUGUUUCAUUUUCAGACCUUAUCUGCCUUACGGAUCAUCUUUUUUCUCUGCUCUGAAACUGUCAAAAUUCAAAUAAUUGUAGACCUUAUCAUAUUUUCUAAUUGCAGGCAAGAU